UGCGGGUCUGUGGUUGAAAGUCGAUGCCAGUCGCAGGCGAAACGAUCCACGUAAGCCGGUCAAAGAUAUCGGUGAGCAUGGUGCGGUUUAGAUGUAAGUCCGUCCGGACCUUCGGUUCGAGAGGGGUGGCGUGGGCGGCGUAAAGCUUAGUAGCAAUACCUCCCGGCGGCGAGUGUGGGGUCAAAGACCAGGUCAGCCGGA
rnacentral:ncRNA from 2 species